GUCUACUCUUACCCAGGUAGGUGAUGUCAGUCUACUCAGGGUCAGAGGUCAGAGUCUACUCUUACCCAGGUAGGUGAUGUCAGUCUACUCAGGGUCAGAGGUCAGAGUCUACUCUUACCCAGGUAGGUGAUGUCAGUCUACUCAGGGUCAGAGGUCAGAGUCUACUCUUACCCAGGUAGGUGAUGUCAGUCUACUCAGGGUCAGAGGUCAGAGUCUACUCUUACCCAGGUAGGUGAUGUCAGUCUACUCAGGGUCAGAGGUCAGAGUCUACUCUUACCCAGGUAGGUGAUGUCAG